AGUAACGGCGAGCGAACGGGGAAGAGUCCGUAGCCGAAUCCUGCCCUCCGGGCGGGAAAUGUGGCGUAGGGGAGUCGGCACUCUCCGAGUGCGGCCGGCGGUGCGAGUCCCCAUGAGAGGGGCGUUCUACCCGGAGAGGGUGCUAGGCCCGUACCGCCGCUGGCCCGCGCGCGGAGUCGCCGGCCUCCCGGGAGUCGGGUUGCUUGGGAGUGCAGCCCAAAGUGGGUGGUAAACUCCACCUAAGACUAAAUAUGCCCGAGAGACCGAUAGCGAACAAGUACCGUGAGGGAAAGUUGAAAAGCACUUUGAAGAGAGAGUUCAAGAGUACGUGAAACCGUUCAGAGGUAAACGGGUGGGGCCUCGAAGUCCUAAGCCGGUGGUGCACUCAGGUCGGAAUCGCGGGAGGUCUCGCGCGGUGCUGCUCCCGGAGCGGGAGGCGCCCGCGCGGGUCCCGGUCCGCGGGUCCGCGCCGCAUUUGCACCCCCCGGCUAGCGGGGCGCCGCGACCGGUCGGGGGUCCGUCGUAAGGCCGGGCCGCAAGGUAGCCGCCUUUCCUCCGGGAUCGGCGGUGUUACAGGCGGCCCGGGUGCCCGAGGGGUCCCCCGACCGCGGAGCAAACGACCGAGCGUUCCCUUCGAUCGAGGAGCUAUUCUCGGAGCGGUCCGCCGCGGGCGCGUCGUGCCACCGGAGCGGUGAGCUGCGCGUACGUCGGCGUUUCUCGCUUCGGGCUUUCGCUGGGAGCCGGGGGUCGGCGGCGAGUAGGUCGGUUACCCACCCGACCCGUCUUGAAACACGGACCAAGGAGUCCAAUGCGCGCGCGAGUUCCCGGGACUUGAAUAGGCCCGAGGGCGCAAUGAAAGUGAAGGGCGGUUCGGCCGUCCGAGUUGGGAUCCGCUCUCGUUCGCGCGGGAGCGGCGCACCAACGGCCCGUCCGACGCGGGUUUCCGCGGGGCGGAGCUAGAGCGCGCGCCUUGGGACCCGAAAGAUGGUGAACUAUGCCUGGGCAGGGCGAAGCCAGAGGAAACUCUGGUGGAGGCCCGUAGCGAUUCUGACGUGCAAAUCGAUCGUCAGAC
rnacentral:rRNA from 1 species